rnacentral:rRNA from 1 species
GAUGAACGCUGGCGGCGUGCCUAAUACAUGCAAGUCGAGCGAACGGACGAGAAGCUUGCUUCUCUGAUGUUAGCGGCGGACGGGUGAGUAACACGUGGAUAACCUACCUAUAAGACUGGGAUAACUUCGGGAAACCGGAGCUAAUACCGGAUAAUAUUAUGAACCGCAUGGUUCAAAAGUGAAAGACGGUCUUGCUGUCACUUAUAGAUGGAUCCGCGCUGCAUUAGCUAGUUGGUAAGGUAACGGCUUACCAAGGCAACGAUGCAUAGCCGACCUGAGAGGGUGAUCGGCCACACUGGAACUGAGACACGGUCCAGACUCCUACGGGAGGCAGCAGUAGGGAAUCUUCCGCAAUGGGCGAAAGCCUGACGGAGCAACGCCGCGUGAGUGAUGAAGGUCUUCGGAUCGUAAAACUCUGUUAUUAGGGAAGAACAUAUGUGUAAGUAACUGUGCACAUAUUGACGGUACCUAAUCAGAAAGCCACGGCUAACUACGUG